rnacentral:lncRNA from 1 species
AAGAAUCAAGUUAACUGAAGAACCUGAAAUCCGUGGGAUGCAUGACAGAAAAUCAUAACAUAUUAUCAAACGAAAGUAGCACAGACCAAAUAAUGGAACAAAAAUCUACGCAAAGCACAAUAUAUAAAUAAUUAAUUAUACCUAUUUAAAGAAGCACUGAAUUAUACCAAGUUAUAAAUGUCCAUGGUAGUAUGACCUAUUCUAUGUAUUAUCAAAAUUCUCACAUGACACUUUCUUCUAAGUUUUUGAACUUUGUAUACCAUUGUACAGAUCAUAUUUGUUGGAAGAACAUCUUAAAGGAGAAUGGAUGAGUAACAAACAUAGUGCUAAAGGGGCACGUGUAAUUAUAAAUAGGUUACUUAUACAGUGAUUAUAUAGCUCAUUCCAAAGGCUUUUGUGAGGUGGGACAUAACAUAAAUGAAGAAAUCUAACUUUAAUAUGGACCCUUGAUCAAUAGAAACAUAACUCCAAUAUGGAAUCAGUCAGUCUAAUAUUUCUAGUAUCACACUGCAACUAACACUUUAGAAGGGGUGUAUGCAAACAGUGAAACAAAGAGAAGAUGGAGUCGUUCCAAACAGCAACAGAAGGAGACGGGUCUUGGCCAGGACGAGCUCGCAGCAUUAUCUCUAGAGGCGCGGACGGAGCACUUGGCCAGGACUCCCUAUGAAGUGAAGCAGGACUGCAUUUUAAAAAAACAAGAAGUACCUUUGCACCAAGAGCAAGAAAUUGCCGCAGACAGGCGGCUGUAUCUAACUCAGCGCAUUUUAGAGCAACGUGCAAAACUGACUUGUGUAGCAUGCAGUGCGAUACACCUGAACAUCUCGAAUCAUCCCAAGAUACCUAAAAUGCCAUUAAGGGAGCACACUAGUAAGAUGUUUUAUCUUCACUAGUAAGAUGCCCGUGCUACGCUACGGAAUCAUAUAAAAUCAAAUGGAAUAACAAAAGUAUAAACCAAAUGUAGUACUGCAUUUUUUGUCAAGAUAGGGUUAGGCUUUAGCCACAUAAAAAAAUAAUAGAGUUAUAUGCAUGUGCACAACUAUUUUGAAAUGCAUCAUGCAUUGAAGUUACAUUUCUCAUUUGCCAAGAAAACACACCAACUUGAUUUCUCAGAUGACUUUGUCUUGGCAUUACACCACCAUAAGAUUUCACAUUGUAGGUGAAACUCAGUUUCAGUUACAUCGACGACUAUAAAAGCACUGGACAGAUUUUCAAGAUAUUUACAAAAUUACAUCAAUGAUUACAAAAGAACCUUCUUUUCCUUUAGCAGACUGUUGGCUUGGACAUUGAGGCAUUUUGCAAAUGAAUCUUCAUUAGUUAAAUCAAAAAUGUGAGCAUUCAGCAUCACAAAUCAUAUGUUUCACUAGAGCUGAUAUUUAUUUGCACUCAAAGUUUAACUUAUUUCACACCUAAAUCAUAUUUUCCAAGUACUCAAAUGCCAACUUGCCGCAAAACUGUAACAUCUGUUUCAGCUGCUACAAGAAUAAUUGAUAACCAUGAAGCUUGAAGGUGUUCAUUCUCAUGGUGUGACUUGCCUAUAAAUACAAAUUACUUUUUUUAUUCUAGUCUGCUUUAAGUCCCGUUUCUGUAAACAGAAAAAGUAACUUAAAAAAGAAGGCAAAUGAAGACACAUAGUACACGCAAAAGAAAUUUGUCUAUGGAGACUAAUACUGCAAAGGAGCUUACAUUUUUACAGCAAGCCCGCAAAAGAAAUUUUUUGUGCUACUACCAACGGUGCCUAGAAUCAACAAGGAAAGAUACUAGCUAGGGGUACACGGUACCGCGGAUGCUUCAUCCAGCGUCGGCUUGCUUUGCGCCGGCUGUUGAGCUUCAUCAACCGGCGAGUGGUUCUGCUUGCUCGGCAAGCACGUGCAAAUCGCCUCUUCUUCCUUCAUGACCUUCAGUGAAUCAACAAGCGGAAGCACCAUGACGAGGUGCGUGGUCAGCUCAACAAAACUCAAAAUGUUCAACAGAAACAGAAAGGGGCUCAUCAAAGAAAUUAGUAGCAUGCUUAUGUGAUUUCGGUGGAUUUAGGCAUAAUGCCCCCGAUCGAUCGCACGGCUAAUCUAGUUGAUAUUAGCAUUUCUGGUGUUAUCUUACUACUGUAUAUCCACCAUAUGUACAUGUACAUACCUUGAUCUGCAUCUGGAGUUCCUUGAUGUAAUCAACAGCCAGAUCCAACAUGUCGGACGUGUUGGUUUGCUAUGGGAUGUCAAGUAAACCAGUUAGCUCAACACCACUCUGCUAGUUCCGCACACGAAACAAAUGGAACAAGUAAAACAGUCCAACAAUCUCAUACUGCCAGUGGAUUAAUUCCUGGCAGAGCCAUGUCAGUGUAUGGCUUUGGCGUUCCAACAGUUUGUUUAAUUACCUUCUCCAUGUUGGGGACGAGCUCUUGCAGAUUCCGCACACGCUUGCUGAUCUCCGUCCUCCUCCACGGCUCAACGAUGCUUCUUCUAUGUGAUGAGCGAUCCUAAUGAACGGAGAAAAGUACUAAUCAUGCACUGCCCAACAAUUUUACUACUGGCGGAUUAAUUCCUUGCAGAGCCGUGCCCGUACGUACAGUUCAUUCAAUACCUUUUUUACGUUGGGUACCAGCUCCUGUAUCCGACUGUUGUUCUCCGCCAUCCUCACCUGCUUGGCAUGGUUACGCACAAACAAAUGUGAGAAGAACUAAUCAUAUGCACCGUCCAACAAUUUAAGAUUAAUUACUCGUGGAGCAACGCAUGUAAGGCUUUGGCAUCCGAAUGGUUCGUUAAUUACCUUUUCAAUGUUCGGGACGAGCUCCUAUUUCUUCUCACCGAUAUCCAUCCACCUCACCUGCUUGUCCGCGACAUUUUUCCUAUCCAAACACCUGAUGACAGCCAGCAUUUAGCUUCCAAUAGAACUCAAUGAGAAAAUAUCACGAACGAGAAGAAGAUCACUGUCCAUACAAGGGGAGNNNNNNNNNNNNNNNNNNNNNNNNNNNNNNNNNNNNNNNNNNNNNNNNNNNNNNNNNNNNNNNNNNNNNNNNNNNNNNNNNNNNNNNNNNNNNNNNNNNNGGAUGAACACCACAACAUCAACUAAGCACCCACAAUCAUCAAAAUGACUACACUACAUAAUCUGCCAUAAUCUACAUCUUAGCACUUUGUGAGCUACAUGCAACAUAGCUACAGCCCUCCAAAUAUGACAAUUAAUAUAUGUGGCUGUAGCCAACCAAGAACACUACAAGCACCAGCAAGAAUCACACCAAAAGGAAUUAAACACAAGAAGAUACAAGGCCACAAACUUUCCCAAAACCAUCAGAUCUCAGGGACUUGGUGAAAAUUCCUGCACCUGACUUUCUGUCUUUGUUCUGAAGCUUUUUGACAGCAACCAAAACAUAACCUACAGGACUCCAAAUGAGAUGAAAUUUUACAGGGAGCUUCACAAACGUAUCAGGUCCAAAGUCCUAUCACUGAACUAAGGCUAGAUCACAACACAAUGACCAGCACAACCUCAUCUACAGGAGAAGAAAAUGUUUCCAGAUUCCCAGACUUAGUGAAAUUCCAGAUUUCACUAAGCUGGAAUUAUCAGCCACAUGCCCACUUUGUCUAGGCAUAGUUUGAACACAAGUAACACCAAGUGAUAAUCGACACCACUAAGGUGUAGAGCAAAACCCCUACUACUAUCACUCAAAAGCUCAUGCCCUUGGGCUCCACCUAUUCCAUGGAAACAAAGAGCAAACUUGCAACAAACCUGANAAUAUGUCAACUCCAUAAAGUAUCCCAAUGGCAAAACUAACUUCACCACUGGUUUCCUUGGGAGAUUCUACCCCAAAAUCAUCUAUAAUAUGUGGACACUUACUUGGAACAAGUGGCCACAAAUUAAGGAAGAAGAAACUACUCCAAAUCAUCCUAGUAAAUAGAGCAUCAAUUCAUGUAGUUCCUCUAUAUCAACUACUACAUGGUUGAGCUCAUGUGCACGAUGACAAAGUGACAUGGGGGUUUGAACCCCAUGUUUGUGUCAUGCACAUCAACUUCAUAACCACUACUACCCAACUAUCCACACAAACAACAUACCAUGCCCUCUCACAUAUGGUCAUGUGAAGGUGCAAAGCUUGCUUGCAAAGGUGGAAUGCUUCUCACACACACAUCUACUCCACAUCAUCCACAAGCACAUCAUGCUAUAGAUCAACACACAUACCUACACAUGCUAAACAUAGCUUGCACCACAUGGCAAACAUACACACACCAUAGGAUCUAGCAACUCUAUACAUACAUGCACUCAACAACAAUGCACUUCUAAGCAUGAUAAAGCUACAUGAUCUCCUACACAUGAUUUAGCUACAUAUGCACUCUUAGUGCAAACACACACACANNNNNNNNNNNNNNNNNNNNNNNNNNNNNNNNNNNNNNNNNNNNNNNNNNNNNNNNNNNNNNNNNNNNNNNNNNNNNNNNNNNNNNNNNNNNNNNNNNNNCUCCUGUAGCCGUUAGAUCAAAGAUCAACGCCCGAGAUUAUAACCCGCGUACCCCUUCGGUUUUUAGUUAAAAACCGACUGGUUUUCUUCCCCACUUAACACUAGCCGACACGGUUCAUUUAGUUAUCGGCCGUUUGUUAGUUAGCCCCGCAGCACACACCAUCUAGGCCAACCAGAACCUGCCACCUAAGCCCCUGUUCACUAGCAGUUUUCUUCUUUUUCUGUUUUAGAUUAGAAAACAGAGAGAGUUUUAAGUUUGUUUUCCCUUUAACUUUUGAUCUAGAGAUCUAGUGAGGUUGAUUCUUUCUCCAGUAGAUCACAAUUUUUCUGUAGUUUUCGAAAACAUAUUAUUUGCCUAUGUUUGAAAUUUCAAAAUUUGAAAUAGAUCAGAUUUAGUUUAAAUCUUGUUUUGCUUAUUCCAGGAGUUUAAAAAAGCUUUUAAUUUGAUUCUUUUUGCUACUGCUUCCUAGUGAUUAUAUCUUUCUAUAGUAUAAGUUUCAAAUUUUUUUAAGUAUUUUUACUUGGGGUUUUAACAGAAACAAUUUCUGCCUUAGUUAGGUGAAGUGAAUUCUUUCACUUUAUGCCAUAGCUACUUUAUGCUUGUGAUGUUAUUGUACUUGUUGAUGAUUGUAGUGCUUAUGGUGUGUAUUUGUUUGUAUCGGUAGAUCACCCGGAGUGCGAAGCUUGUUACUUAGAAGCGCUCGAUCAAGACAACUAUCAUCAAGGCAAGUCAUUUUGAUCAUACUAUCUCCUAUGUUUUCUAUGCAUGGUAGUUUCACCUUUCUUUGCCCAAUUGCAUGCUGAGUAGGUACUUGGAAAUUUUAGUUAUAGGUUGUAGUAUCAUGUGGUAGGCACACAACAACCCUGAUACUUGGCCCGGGACGACAAAUUUCAUAUUGCUAUGCUUGAGUAGACGGGAUUCUGGUUGAGUGCAUAACACGAGUGAUGCGAGGAUAAUUAAAGAACCAAGACCGGUUAAGUUAAGAUUUUCAAGACCUCGUGAAGCAAUGCAACUCUGGGUGAAGGACGGUUUGACGGGCUCCCUGGAGAAACCAGUGGAUGACCCCGGGAUGCUUGGAGACGUGCCAUGACAUCUUGCGGAAAGCUUCACCCAAGCUCGAAGAGACGGACGGAGGCUUCAAGACCCAAGGCUUACCUGCACAGCCACAAGUCAUUAUGGGCUCUAGCUUGGUUGGACAACACAGCGACUCUUGACAGGCGGUGCUAGCAGAUGUUGUAGAACGGUAGGAAUGGAUGGGCACCGUAAGGGAUUCAGAGGGACCCGUUGAAAGACCAAGUUUUGAUCAUCCGAUCUUCAAACACCCUGAAGUGCGAGGACAUAAUCGGAGGCGAUCAAAUCUUGUGGGGAACGUGUGCAAAACUCUGCAGAGUACCCAAACCUAAUCGAUUAGCCGUGUCCACGGUCAUGGACUACUUGAGCCGAAGGCAUUGAAAUUUCCAUGAACUCUCGAGACAACUUAAUAAUGAUGUGGGAAUUAUCAACAACUCGGGUACGAGAAUUGGUUGGCGGAACCAUCUUGUUAACAACAAACAAUGUAGUAAUAUUUUUCUUCGAGCCCUCUCUUGUUGUAGGAGAAAAUUGGAUUUAUGCUAAAACUUAUAGCCCGACCUGCCAAAUAUGCAUGUAGAGAUAGUUGGUUAUUAUUAUUUUUCCCUCUCUUUGAUGACUUGCCGGCAUAUUCCAUAUGCUAACCUACACGGCUGCAACGUAUCAUGUUGCAGAGUACUUUUCCGACUAGGAGUGAGGCUACGAUCUAUGCUCAACGACAUGCCCUGGAGUCGGAUGGACUCGUCUACCUGAUGCUUCCGCUAGUCUUCAUUAGAUAUCUCAUGAGAUGGCCUUCAGCCACUUUAUUGUAAUUCAUUAUUGUAAUAAAGUACUCGAUAUGAGAUUUCGAUUAAUAAAGCUGUGUGAUUGAGCUCUUGAUAUAUACAUUGAUGUACUGAGUGUGUACCAGCAUGAUCUUGGGAUGGUACGGAAACACCAGAGGCUUGACUCAUAUUGAGUCGGGUCGCUACAUGUCGCUGAUGCCGACUAGAAGCUUGAUAACGACGUCGACCGCGUCCAGAUGAUGGUUCGUCGGCCUCGUGCUCGCCGCGACCGAAUCCGGGUGGGCUCUCCGCGGAUCCCUCCAUGAAGACUUCUGUUGUUGGGUUGCAGCUCUCACACUCGGAAGGAACGUCAGACUGGACUGACGCUGAGUGGAUCGGGCUCUGAAGAGGUAUAGCAGGCUCGAUGGCUGCAACCUGAGGGGUCAACGAAGACAACUCCUGAUGACACACCGCGUGCUUCACCGACCUCUGGAGUCGAGAACCACCGGAUCGCUUGCGUGGCGUACAACGGAGUGAAGCACCGACAACGGGGUCGACGAUUGCAGAAGGAGAACGCCGAAGGAAUUUGCAAGGGAGUGCGUCCCUCCAUGGACUGGAAGCGUCUCGAUGUCGAGUGGCGCUUCUCGGAGCCAUGCCGAGUCAUCAGCGACGAAGAUGAGGGCGCUGAAAUGGAUCUCACUGCCCAUGAACAAACUGUCACCGGAAGACAUGAUGAAGAGUGAAAAAUGCAAACUUGCCGGAAGUCGCUUAGACGCGUGCCCCACUGUGGGCGCCAACUGUCGUGGGAAUAAACCUGACAGUAGAGGUGUAGGGUAUGAAUGGAGAGGGCAGAGUCCUAGCUACAACAAGAUUGUACGUAAGAUGUAUGAGUUCAGGCCCCUCUCUUGGAGGUAACAUCCCUACGUCUGAGGUGCUCAGGAGCUCUUGUAGAGUGGUUUUGUGUAAUUCAGGGGGUGCGAACCCUUGUGCCAGAGGGGAGGGUUGGCUUAUAUAGAGUGUGCCACCUCUCAUCAAUACCUCAGCAUCUAAGGGCUUGAUCAAUAUGAGUUAAAAGAUAUACGUUACUGAUAACAUAAGUGGGUAAUAAAUGCUACUAAAGAACAUUGGUUGAACGUGUGUCCGUUGGCCGUCGUGGGUGACUUCUGAUCUUCUGUACCGAGUGGAAUCCUUCCGAGUGCCUUUGGGUUGUCGAGUGGGUGUAAACUUAAUCCGAGUGGCUUCGUACCGAGUGGCUUUUAAGUACCAUCUUCAUCCAGUCGGAGACUUCUGUCUGACCCUUGUCCUAAUAAUGAGGUGCCCUUGGGUAGGACAUAUAGGUCAGGCCUAUGACCCUACCCUAGGUACAUACCCCCAUCAUUACCCAAGGCCUUUACUUAUGCACUCUACUUUGUCAUAGACAUAUUGUUUCUUGUCAUAUAUCUUGCUAUCACUUAGUUGUUUAUCUUGCUUAGCAUAAGUUAUUGGAGCACAUAGGCGAGCCUAGUUGUUUUAGGUUUUGUUCUUGACUAAUUAAACAUUAGUUUUAUUCCACUUUUGUUCAAGCCUAAACCAUAAUUAUUUUAACGUGCCUAUUCAGCCCCCCUGUAGGCGACAUCAACGUCCUUUCACCAUAGUUCAUAUAGGCACUAGGGGUAUCUAGGGUUACAUGAAUGUCAGUUACUAUCUAUGAAUUACAUGCCAAGGGAAUCCUCUCUCCUUGGAGUACACGCCAAGUCUUGAGAGGAAUCUGGAAUGCUCACGCUUCAUCACAAGACCUCUAAAGUCGAUGGGCUCCAAGCCUGGCCCAUGGACUAGACCACCUCGGCUAGGACCCCUUAAUCCAGGACUCCCUCAUCGAUGAAGAACAGGAGGUGGCUUUGUCUCUAUGUUGCAAAACAUGAUGAAACUUUCUAUCAAAUUUUUCUCUCCGCGAGAUGGUACUUAUGGAGUUCGAGUUAGGGCUAACAAAGGCUCAUGGGAUCCACGAGCUCACAAGUCACGCCCUAGGGGGCCUUGAUCUCGUGGGUCCCUGGUGGCCCCCUUCAAGUUGGUAUCUUCUCCAAUAAUUCUUAUAUAUUCGAAAAAUGUUCUCCAUCAAUUUUGAUCCCAAUCCGAGAAAUUUUAUUUCUGCAUGAAAAUAACACCAUGGUAGUUAUGUUGAAAACAUUGUCAGUCUCUGUUAGUUUCGUUGAAAUCAUGCAAAUUAGAGUCCAAAACAAGAGCAAAAAUGUUUGGAAAAUUUGAUAUGUUUCGGACGUACCAACUACCCCAAGCUUAACUCAUUGCUUGUCCUCAAGCAAUUUAGUUGAUAAACUGAAAGUGAUAAAGAAAAACUUUUACACACUCUUUUGUUCUCAUUGCCGUAUAUAUGCUUAACUAGUGUUCAAGUUUCCAGCAAAGAUUAGAAACAAACCAUAUGAAUGAUAAUAGUUAGGUCUCAUAUGUACUCAUAACAAUAACUUAACAACAAAAGUAAAUAAAAUGACAAAAUGACAAUAGCGCUCUCGAGACUUCUUCUUUAAUGAGAAGGUGAUGACUCAACAACAAAAGUAAAUAACAUGAAAGUAAAUAAAAAGGUCCUUGGCACAGGGAAGUCGAGAUUUGUAGAGGUACUAGAGCUUAAGGAUUAAAAGAGAGAUGAAUAUAUUUUAAGAGGUGUGCUUCUCCUAUCAAUGUUAUGACAAGGGAUUUCUAUACCUUCCAUGCUAAACACAUUAUUAGCGGUUCCCAAGCGGAAAUGGAAAGUUUACUCCCCUCAACCGAGCAAACACAAGCCAUGGCCGACCGAAUCCUCGGGUGCCCUCCACACAAUCAAUUUUAGGGGUGUUUGUUUUAUUUUAUUUUUCUUUAUUUUUAAUUACAUGAUUGGGCAUCCCAAUUACCACCCUCUCUCGUGCAAUGACAAGUGUGUAAACAACCAUCAUGAUAAUAACUCGCUUAGCAUGGAACAUACUAACCGAUGUGUCUCUCCAUGAGCUUACAUGAACACAAAAACAAUGUUUGUUUGAAUGAUUAGAGGUGGCACAUGCAAAUUUACAUGGAACGACAGAGUAAUACCACAUGUAGGUAGAUAUGGUGGACUCAUGUGGAACAACUUUGGGUUUUAGGAUUUUGGAUGAACAAGAAAUAUACCCGCUUAAUACAGGUGAAGGCUUGCAAAUAGAUUGAGAAGCGAGUAUAUAGAGAACGACAACAGUCGUAAUCAUGCAUCGCGAAUAUUUAACAUUGGAUACGAGCAUGGGUAGGAUAUAAAUACCGUGAACAUAAAUAUCAUAAAGGCUACAUUGGUUUUGAAUCAGCUACAUGUGUGAACAUGUGCCUAGUCAAGCCACUUGAAUUAUUCACACGAGGAUACUAUUGGGAACGUAGCAUGAAAAUAAAAAAUCCUACAAAACACCCAUGAUCUAAUCUAGGAGAUGCAUAACAACGAUCCGGGAGAGUGUGUCUGCGUACCCUUGUAGAACGUUAAGAGAAAGCAUAUAAUUACAUGGGUGAUGUAACCAUACUCUUCAUGAUCAAAUCACGAUCCAAUCCGAUCUAGCAACGAAUGGACGACACCUCCGCGUUGAGUACAUAUAAGGCUCAGUGACUUCUCUGCCUCCUUGAUCCAACAAGUGAAGGCAGAGAAGUAGAUGUGAUCAUCGCCAACACGACGGCAUGGCGGCGAUGGUGGUGGUGCGAUGCCGACACGGCUUCGCCUAGUGUUGCCAAUACAACGACCGAAGAAGGAAACAGGAGAGGGAGGGCUGACCCAAGGGAGAGGGAUUGGUGUGUGCAGACCUUCGCUCCCCUCCACUAUAUAUAGAGGUAGGGGGACGGGUGUCAGAGGGGGUGCCUUCGCCCCCAAGGAACUGGGGCGUACCCUUUAGGGUUUCCCCCAAACCCUAGUGUGUAUGGGCCUUAGGGGGAGGGGUGCCCAGCCUACCAGGUGUUGGGAAUAUACCCUAGAGGCAAUAAUAAAUUAGUUAUUAUCAUAUUUCUUUGUUAGUGAUAAUUGUUUAUUAUGCAUGCUAUAAUUGUAUUGAUUGGAAACUUAAAUACAUGUGUGGAUACAUAGACAAUACCAUGUACCGAGUGAGCCUCUACCCGACUAGCUCGUUGAACAAAGAUGGUUAAGGUUUCCUAACCAUAGACAUGAGUUGUGAUUUGAUAACGGGGUCACAUCAUUAGGAGAAUGAUGUGAUGGACAAGACCCAACCAUAAGCAUAGCAUCUCACAUAUUAGUUUAUUGCCACUUCUUUAUCCAUGUUAAUGUAUUUGUUCCUAUAACCAAGAGAUCAUGCAACUUCCCGACAACGAAGGAAUGCCUUGUGUGUAUAAAACGUCACGAUGUAACUGGUCUACUAUAAAGAUGCUCUACAGGCAUUUCUGAGGGUGUGUGUGGUGUUGGCAUGGAUCAACACUCGGAUUUGUCACUCCGUAUGACAAAGAGGUAUCUUGGGCCUCACUUGGUAAUGCAACAUCACAAUAAGCUUGCAAGCAAUGUGGCUAAGGAUUAAGUCACGAGAUCUUGUAUUACGGAACGAGUAAAGUGACUUGCCGAUAACGAGAUUGAACUAGUUAUGAAGAUACCGACGAUCGAAUCUGGGGCAAGUAACAUACUGGUGAACAAAGGAAACUGCAUACGGGAUUGAUUGAAUCCUUGGGAUAAUGGUUCGACCGAUGAAGAUCUUCGUGGAAUAUGUAGGAACCAAUAUGGGCAUCCAGGUCUCACUAUUGGUUAUUGACCGGAGAGGUGUCUCGGUCAUGUCUACAUGAUUCUCAAACCCGUAGGGUCCGCACGCUUAACGUUCGGGGACUCUAGAUUAGUAUUGGGAUUUGUACGUUGGUGACUGAAUGUUUUUCAGAGUCCCGGAUGAGAUCCCGGAUGUUUCGAGGAGCUCCGGAAUGGUUCGGAGGUAAACAUUUAUAUAUGGGAAGUCAUAUUUUGGCUACCGCAAAAGUUUUGGGUUUUAUCGGUAUUGUAGUGGGAAGCUUCUCGAAGGUUUCAGAAGGUUCCAGAGCAUUCUGGAGGAGUCCGGAAGGGUCCCACCAGACCCUAGGAUGUGAAUGAGAUGUGAGAGGGUGUCCAAGCUUUGUUGGGCCAGCCUCCAAGGGCCCAUGCGGCUAGGGGGUAGGUAACCCCAAAGGGGAAGGCACCUAGGAGGUGCCUUGGGAAGGGAGGACUCCUCCCUCUUGUCCGCCGCCCCUCCCUUGGAGGAGGGAUUAGGGAUGCGCCCCCCUAUUGAUCCUUGCCUACUAUAAAUAGUGGAGGGCAGUGUAGGUCUGAACACAUCAAGUCCUCUCCCUUGAGACAGCCCUCUCCCUCCCGUUUCUCCCGUUCUUUCUCGUUCGCUGUUCCGACGGCACUUGGCGAUGCCGUGCUGGGAUUGCUCCACCACCAUCUCCACCCUCCAUCGUGCUGGUUGAGAUCCCAUCUAGUUCUCCUUACUCUCUUGAUGGAUCAAGAAGGAGGAGACGUCAUCGAGCCUCAUGUGUGCUUAACGUGGAGGUGCCGUCUGUUUGGCGCUAGAUCGGGACAAAUCACGAUUGUAUCGUGAAGACGUACGACCAAACCGCGUUAUAUACACUUCCUCUUAGCGAUAUAUAUGGGUAUGUAGAUGCAUUCCCUCUCUCGUAGAUGUUAGUCUCUAUACAUUAAUCUUGGUGAGAGUAGGAAUUGUUUUGUCUCCCAUGCGACGUUCCCCAACAGUGGCAUCAUGAGCUAGGUCUAUGUGUAGAUAACAUAAACGAGUAGAACACAAAAGAGUUUGUGGGCACUGAUGUUCAGAUUGUUUACUUCCUUAGUCUUAUUUUGAUUGCGGUAUUGUGGAAUGAAGUGGCCCGGACCAACCUUACUCGUCCACGUAUGAGAGACCGGUUCCAUCGACUGACUUGCAACUUGUUGCAUAAGAUGGCUGGCGGGUGUCUAUCUCUACCACUUUAGUUGAAUUGAAUUUUACAGAGGUGGUCCUUGUAGAAGGUUAAAUAGCAACUUGAAUAUCACCGUUGUGGCUUUGUGUAGGUAAGAACAAUUCUUGCCAGUUACCCAUAACAGUCACGUAAAACAUGCAACAACAAGUAGAGGUCGUCUAACUUGUUUUUGCAGGGUAUGUUGUGAUAUGAUAUGGCGAAAGACAUGAUGAGAUAUAUGUGAUGUAUGAGAUGAUCAUGUUUUCUAUAGGUUAUCAUGACUUGCAUGUCGAUGAGUACGACAAGUGAAAGGAUCCAUAGGGUUGUCUUCAAUUAUUUGUGCCUUUUUGCUUUAGUUGAUUGCUAUAAGUUAGCAAUAGUGGUAGAAGCAUAGUUGGCGCAACAACCUCAAUGGAGACACGAUGAUGGAUAUCAUGAUUAUGGACAUCAUGGUGUCAUGACGGUGACGGUGGAGAUCAUGCGAGUGCUUUGGAGAUGGAGAUCAAAAGCACAAGAUGAUGGCCAUAUCAUGUCACUAUUUUGAUUUGCAUGUGAUGUUAAUCCUUUCAUGCUUCCUAUUUUGCUUAGGACGACGGUAGAAUUAUAAGAUGAUCCAUCACUAAAAUUUCAAGAUAAAAUUAUGUUCUCCCCAAGUGUGCACUAUUGCGAAGGUUCGUCGUUUUGAGGCACCAUGUGAUGAUCACGUGUGAUAGACUCUACGUUCACAUACAACGGGUGUAAGACAUUUUUGCACAUGGAGAACACUUAGGUUAAACUUGACGAGCCUAGCAUGUCCAAACAUGGCCUCAGAACACACAAGAUCGAAAGGUCGAACACUAAUCAUAUACCCCCUCUAUCCCAAAAUAACCGUCUCAAGCUUAGUACAUGUGACAUCCGAAAUUUUCAAUUUGGAAUGUUUUACAUUUAUAGCUAAGCAUCUAUUCAUUUUAUUUGAAAUGUGGCAUUUGAAUUUUCUUUUAGUAUUUGUUUUGAAUUCAUUUUUGGCACAUGUAUUUCACUCAAAAAUUCCUAACAAUUAUCUUGCCAAGCAAGUAUGAGAAGAGGUAACAUGACACCCCCAAAAAAGUCUGAAGAAAAAUAGUGCCAAAAUUUUUAAAGGCCAAAUUUGGUUUUUCAUUGGAUUUAAAAAAAUAUUUUUUUGAUAUUUUUUUUAUUUUGUGUCUAAGAAAAUGUUCACGUUUGGGGAAAUAUUUUUCUGAUCAUUUUGAUAUAUAACACUCCUAUAUUCGAAGUAUAAUUUAUUUCUUUUCUUUAGUUUUCAUUCCUAUUUUUAAAUAAAAGGAAAAAAAUCUACGUUUAUUAGGAAAUCGCUAGGGCCCGUUUGGAAAAAUUCGGCCCGCAUAUCCUUCGCCAGAUCCGAAGAGAUUUCAGAUCGGCCGACCGCCUGAACUGCCGCGCCUCUCCUCUUUCUGACUCGCGGGACCCACCGCCCGAUCCCAGCCGGCCCCGAUCUUCUUCUUCUUUCCCCCAACCGGCUAUUUCCUUCGCCGGAGCAGCCCGAUCCGGAGCCCGAUCUCCCUGCCUCUUUCCUCUCUUCGACCCCGAGGACCGCUAUACAAACACCGCCCCUCCCCGCACUCCGUUUUCCCCAAUGCCCCGACACCCCCUCGCCCCACGCCGCCACAGCGCCAUUGCCGGAGUUCGCCGAAGCCAAAGAUCUCCAAGAGCCCCUGCCGCUCCCCUUCAUCGUCCCCAAGCCCCGCCGACGCCACCAGAGGAUGUCGGAGACUCGCCGCAGUCUCCUGGUCUCCUCCGUCGCUGCCUUCGACCACCGGAAGCCCCCCGGCUGGCACCACACCUUCGGCCACCGUCGAGACUCGCCGGAGUUCAUCCUGCCAUGGUGAACACUCCAUCUUUUACCUCCAACGCUAGAUCUUUAGCCAACGACCCAGAUUAGAUCCCACUUACCCCUAUGGUUUUGUCUAAUAAAACCGUUCGGUUUUCUGUUAGUUAGAUUUAGACGAAUCAUUUUUUUAAGUUGCGGCUAUCCGCUAGUUAAGCACCCUCAGCGCACACUUUCAUCCAGUAGAGAACUGCAACGUAGCACCCUCUUCAUUAGUUAGAAAAUUUUAGUUUAUGUUUCUGUUAAAAAAAACAGAAUAGUUUUUGCUUUAUUUUUUGCUCUUACUCUUAGGUUAUAACUCCAAAUUAGAUUAUUCUUUUUGCAUUGGGUCACAAAUGUUAUGUAGUUUCUGUACAUAUAAAGUUUGACCAUGUUUGAAUAUUUGAAUUUUGAAUUUAAACAGAUUAGAUUCGACCUUGUUUUGUGAAUAUCUGGAGUUUAAAAAUAAGUUUUGAGUUUAUUCUUUCUGAUACUGAUCACUAGUGAUCUCAUUUAUCAAUAGGUUUAAUUUUAGAAUUUUUAUAAUAUUUUAUCUUUGGGUUUUCAAGAAAACAGAAUAUGUUUUAGUGCUUGUAGGUUAUUUUUGUUCUCUUUUGAUCUAGCUACUUGUUGAUUGUUGUUUUAUUUUAUCUACUUGCUGUUGUGAUUUUUAUUGUCUGAAAUUAUUGUCUCAUUAGAUCAUCCACAGUGCGAAGCUUGUUACCUAGAGGCGCUCAAGUUCAAAAGUCGUCAACAAGGCAAGUCACGUUGAUCAAGUUUUACCUAUGGUUUAUAUCCAUUUAGUUCAACCUUCUCCACCCAUUGCAUGCAAAGUAGGUACUUGGAAAUUUUGGUUCUUGAUGUAGUAUCAUGUGGUAGGCACCCAUCACCCCUUGUUACUUGGCCCGGGACGUUACUUUUAGUUUGCUAUGCUUUUAGUAGACGGGGUUUUGGUUGAGUGUUUAUCACGAGUGUUGUGAGAACUUAAUAAUCAAGACCGGAAGAUUUCAUGACUUUUCAAGACCUCGUGAUGCAAUACACCUCUGGGUGAAGGAUGGUUUAGAUGGGUACCCUGGAGUAACCAGUGGAUGACCCGGGAUGCAUGGGGAAGUGCCAUGACAUCUUGCGGAAAGCUUCACCGAGGCACGAAGAGAUGGAUGGAUACUUCAAGACCCAAGGCUUACCUGCAUAGCCAGAAGACAUUAUCGGCUCUAGCUUGGUUGGACAUCAUGGUGACUUUGGACAGGCGGUGCUACAAGAUGUAGAAGAACGGUAGGAUUGGAUGGGCACCGAUAGUGGCUUAGAGGAACCCUUUGGAAGACCAUGUUUUGAUCAUCCGGUUCUCAAACACCCUGAAGUGCGAGGACUCCAACGGAGGCGAUCAAAUCUUGUGGGGAACGUGUGCAAAACUCUGCAUAGUACUCAAACCUAAUUGAUUAGUCGUGUCCACGGUCAUGGACAACUUGAGCCAAAGGAAAUGAAACUAUCUGGAAUUCUCAACACAAAUAAUAAUAAAGAUGUGGGUAAUAAUGAUAACUUGGGUAUGCGAUAUGGUUGGUGGAACCAUCUCAUUAACAACCAACAAUGUAGUAAGUUUUUCUUUUAGCCCCUCUCUCUGGUUGUAGGAAAAAAAUGCUUUCCGCUAAAAACUUACAGCCCCACCUGCCAUAUAUGCAUAUAGCAUAGAUGAUACUUUUUCACCUCUCUCUUUUGUGACUUGGCGACAUAUUCAAUAUGCUGACCUACACGGCUGCAACGUCUCAUGUUGCAGAGUACCUUUCCGAUCAGGAGUGAGGACACGAUCUACGCUCAGUGAUAUGCCCUGGAGUCGGAUGGACUCAACUACCUUUGAAGCUCCCGCUAGUUUUCGUUUAGUUUUAUCUCAUGAGAUGGCCUUCAGCCACUUUAUUGUAAUAAAGUACUCGAUAUGGGAUUCGAUUAAUAAAGUUGUGUGAUUGAACUCUGUAUAUAUACAUUGAUGUAUUGUGUGUGUACCAGCAUGAUCUUGGGAUGGUACAGAAACACCAGAGAAUUGGCCGUUUCAGGUCGGGUCGCUACAAUGGUAUCAGAGCACACGCUGACUGUAGGAUGUAACCUCUAGGAUUGGAAAAGCCUUAGGAAGAAAACAUUUUUUCUUAUGUCUUUAAAACUUCUUUAUUUCUCUUCUGCUCAAUUCUGACUUCUCUCCGAUUUUCCAAUAUUUUCUAGAUGGCCACCUUCAUCCCAGCUAAGGUCACGGAGUUUUGCCAGCCCGAUGCAACAAUGCCCUUCGGAAAGGAGCUGGUGCAGAUCACCAAGGACCUAAGGAUUGCUCUACCAACCAUCACCGAUAAACCUACCAUGUCUUACCCAGCAAACGCACGCUACAUGAUUGAUGUGCACAUCCCCGAAAGAACCUUCGAGCAUCUCACAAAACCUAUGGACUUCAAGUUCAUCGCACCUAGCUGGAUUCUCGGAAGGGACAUGGUGAUUCACUGUGCACUCGAACAUAUCAAGGAGGUGUAUAGAGGUUGUCCCAUUUCACCGGACUUAUUGAUGGUCUCCCGGAGAGGAGCAGAUGGAUAAAUCAUCGAGACCAAGACUGAAGAUGCCCUCUUGUCCUAUGCCCAGACCUUGGAGACACACAUCAGGACUCUGGAGCUUCGUGUAGGCAAGGACACAAAGAAGAUCAAGCAACUGAUGCUCUACGAACUUGACCUUGAAGCAGAAGCCCGAGAAGCCCACUACAAGCACGAACAAGAAGUUAAGGACUUCCUGGAGAGGAUCGAGAAGAUGAAGGCUCGCGUUGGAUAUCUAGAGGAGGAAUUGGACAUGGACGAAAAUCUUCAUCCUGAAGGAGACGUAGCCCCCUUGAUGAGCAACGAGGAGGACUACGAAGCACGCUCUAUCGAUGGACCCACCACCAUGCAUUUCUGAAGAGGACACAAAGACUAGACCACCAAUUUAUCUUAUCGUUAAACGUUUAGGCCGAUGUUUAGGUUAUCGCAAACUUGUAUCCCCGUGUUUGAACCUUUUGAGAUGAUUAAUGAAUAAAUGUGUGGUGUGAUAAUUGUUUGUUGCAUUUCAUAUGGGUAGUGUAUUUUCUCUUUAGACCCUUGUGCGAUGCUAAUUCCCAUCCCUCUAAAAACACCAGAUGCCUCCAAGAUGUGAUCCUGCCUCCAACUUUCCACCGGAACUCACUUAGUUGAUCCAACAACAGAAUACCCUAAUGCAGUUGAUCAUUCAGAACCAGACCAACAAUAACAACAACCAUCAUCCACCCCAGGAUGACAAUCUCACCCGUUUUCUGAGAUUGAAUCCUCCGACCUUCUCCAGCAGCGUUGAGCCCAUUGUGGCAGAUGAUUGGCUCCGCAAGAUGCAGAGGGAACUAAUCACUUCUGGAUGUACUGAAGCUGAGAAGGUGCGCUUUGUCGCACAUCAACUUGAAGGACCCGCAGCUGCAUGGUGGGAGAACUACACCACCACAUACCCCAUCGCUGGUGUGACUUGGGAGCAGUUCAAGCAGGCCUUCCGCACCGCUCAUGUCUCAGCUGGAGCCAUGAGUCUGAAGAAGCGUGAGUUUCACAACUUACACCAGGGAAAUCGCUCUAUGGCUCAGUAUGUUGAUGAAUUCUGCAUGUUUGCCCGAUAUGCACCUGGAGAUGUGGCCAAUGAUGCGGCCAAGCAGGAGAAGUUCAUGGAAGGACUCAAGGAUGAGUUGAGCAUUCAGCUGACUGUGGCCAACUUCAACAACUACCAGGAGCUGGUAGACAAGGCCCUCAUCUUGGAGGGAAAACAACAGCAGAUUAAGAACCGCAAAAGGUAGUAUGGACAUGGGAAGUUCAACUUUGGAGCUUAGAAGAAGCCCCAUUACUUCCCCUAUUCAGGGAAUACCGGAACAUGAACCGGUAAGUUUGGAGGACACACCCACCAUAACCACCCAGUGCAUAACCAUGGGUGCCACAACCAUGGAUGAAAUGGGAACAACCGCAACAACAACAACUUCAAGAAUGGCAAUGGAGGUAAUGGCACUCAACACCAUCCCACUCCAGCUCAGAAGGAUCUGAACCAUAUCACCUACUUCAAGUGCCAAAAGACGGGACACUAUGCUACUGAAUAUCCCUAAAACAAGAUGGGAAAUGUAAAUGACAAUGGCAACUCAGCAGCAAAGAAGCCCAAUCCGUUUCCCCGAGCUCAGGUGAACCACAUUGAUGAUCAAGAGGUCUAUGAUCACCCCUAUACGGUGGUUGGUAAGUUUUUGCUAAAUUCACGUCCAGUACUGGUACUUUUUGAUUCUGGUGCAACACAUUCAUUCAUAUCAAGGGUAGUUGUGGAGAAUUAUAGUUUACCAACUAGAACCCUCAUUCAGCCCAUUAAGGUCAGUUCCCCAGGGGCAUGAUGACAGCCGAGAUAGGAUGCCAUGCAUUGAACCUCAAGAUCGUAAACCAUAAAUUUCCCACCGACCUCAUCGUAUUAGAGUCACAGGGAUUCGAUGUAAUCCUGUGCAUGGAUUGGUUGACCAAGUAUGAAGGAAACAUCAAUUGUGCCCUUAAGUCUUAUUUGCCCACCACCCCAGAGCGAAAGAGGAUUAAGUAUGUACCCCAACGCCCACCACAGAGUAAAUGGGUGAAUUUUCUCACGGGAGUUGUUGAGGAGGAAGUGCCGAUUAUACAAGACUUUCCAGAUGUAUUCCCGAAAGAAUUGCCAGGCAUGCCACCGGAUAGAGAGAUUGAGUUUCUGAUUGAAUUAUUACCAGCGACAGCCCCAAUAUCAAAGAGGCCCUAUCGGAUGCCCGCAAAUGAUUUAGAAGAAAUCAAGAAGCAGAUCAAGGAGUUACUGGACAAAGGGUAUAUUCGCCCAAGUUCGUCACCUUGGGGAGCCCCAGUUGUUGGUAGAGAAGAAGGAUAAAUCCUCGAGAAUGGUAGUCGAAUAUCGUGCAUUGAACGAGGCGACCAUCAAGAACAAGUAUCCCUUGCUGAUGAUUAACGAUUUGUUUAACUAGUUAGUUGGAGCCCGAGUGUUCUCCAAGAUCGAUCUUCGAUCAGGGUAUCAUCAGUUGAAAAUUCGUGAACAGGAUAUACCCAAGACAACCUUCACCACAAGGUAUGGUCUAUAUGAGUACACAGUCAUGUCAUUUGGUUUGACUAAUGCUCCUGCAUAUUUUAUGAGUAUGAUGAACAAGGUAUUUAGGGAAUAUCUGGUCAAGUGUGUCGUGGUGUUCAUCGAUGAUAUACUGAUAUUCUCCAAGAACGAGGAAGAACACAAGGAGCACUUGCGUUUAGUUUUGGAGAAGCUUCGAGAGCAUCAGUUGUAUGCGAAGUUCAGCAAAUGUGAAUUUUGGUUGAAGGAAGUCGGAUUCCUCGGGCGCAUUAUUUCUGGAGAUGAAACAACAGUGGAUCCCACCAAGGUUGCAGCAGUCACCGAAUGGAAGGCACCCACCUCAGUUAAGGAGAUCCGCAGUUUUCUCAGACUUGCCGGAUAUUACCGAGGUUAUCGAGAAUUUCUCGAAGAUUGCCAAGCCCAUGACAGAGUUGUUGAAUAAGGAGUCCAAGUACAAUUGGACCGAGGAAUGUGAAGCUAGUUUCCAAGAGUUGAAGAAACAUUUGGUUACAGCCCCAGUGCUGAUAUUGUCGAACAUUCGGAUGGAUUUUCAGGUGUAUUGUGACGCAUCACGUCAGGGUCUUGGAGGAGUGCUCAUGCAAGAGGGAAAAGUUGUAUCCUAUGCAUCCAGACAGCUCCGAACUAAUGAGUUGAACUAUGCCACACAUGAUUUGGAGUUAGCAACCGUAGUGCAUGCACUCAAGACCUGGAGACAUUUCCUUACCAGAAAUAGUAGUGAUAUUUACACUGAUCACAAGAGCCUGAAGUAUAUCUUCAUGCAGAAGGAGUUAAACCUCAGACAGAGGAGAUGGCUAGAGUUGAUCAAGG